rnacentral:lncRNA from 1 species
ACAUACAUUGUUCAUCAAAACAUCAAAACCCAUAAACUCAUCAACAAGCCUAAACAUGCAUCUCUACCCAUAAAACAACUUAAUGCUUGUUUAAAACACAUAACAAGGGUGGAUCCGAGCUUACCUCUUGAAGAAACGAGAGGAAAGGCGAUCCUAGCUUGGAGAUGGAGAGAUUGAGCUCUUUGAACCUCCAAGUACCCAAAACUUGCUCUUUACUCACAGAUCUUCAAAACAGAAGUUAAAACCCGUGAAAAUCAUGGAAGAUCUAAGGAAAACACUCAAGAUCGAGGGAGGGGUGGCGGAGACUCACCUUGGCCGA